AUCUAAAGCCAUGCCACCCUAAACAGGCCCGAUCCCAUCUGAUCUUGGAAGCUAACCAGGGUUGGACCUGGUUAGUACUUGGAUGGGAAACCACCUAGGAAGACUAUAGAUGCUGUAGGUG
rnacentral:rRNA from 1 species